CCCGAUGGUGAAAACUUGCUUUUAUUUUCAUUUUUUUUUAUUACAUAUGAGUUAUUGUCUAAUAAUAAAGUGAAGCCAUUACAAAUGGUGAUGCCUUAAACGUUUAUUAAAAUAAAAGUCUCGGAGUAAUUUAUACAUUAUACACAGAAUAACACAUUAUUCUGGAACUGAAUAUUCCUUUCAAAACUUCAAGAAGUCUGAACUCAGCUGAGCAGAUUUGGGUGCGAUAUCAGAGAUUCCUGCACCUAUACAUCACCAUCAGAAGACAACAUUCAAAAAAGCACAAGAGAAGAACCAGUGUCCAGCAAGAAUCAUCUCAGUUGAGCACGAAACAAAAAAGAAAAUCCAUCAAGAUCAUUUAGUAAACUUACAGCAAGAAGAACAAGAAGAAAUGAACAUUCAAAUACCAACACCAGCAGUAUCAAUGACUGGGCUCUCCGUUCAGCCUGCUAUAUCGGUGGUUCAGCCUGCUGUAAUGGUUGUUCAGCCAACUGUACCAUUGGUUCAGUCCACUGUGAGUCAAAUGCCAGUUGCUAUUGUACGAGAUUACAUGUGCUACUCCAUCUUUAACAUGCUGUGCUGCUGUUUCCCUCUGGGCAUCGUUGCUAUCAUCUUCUCAUGCAGUGCUCGAGAUGCUAACAUUUCUGGAGAUCGAGAUUUAGCGAAGAGCCACUCCAGAGUGGCAUUUAUCCUGAACAAUGUGUCUGUCGGUAUCGGCCUCGCAAUCAUGACAGCAAUCGUUGUCAUUUAUUUCAAAUAUAUGCGAGAAUAACAUCUUUGAACAGAUGUAGUAUUCUGCUUCAAAUGCAUCUACUCUUUCUGUCAAUGAUAAUGUCAACUCAAGUCAAUGAUUUUGCAGAAGAAAUGAAAAAUACUUUCCAGACCCUCUGAGGGAAUUAUCUAAUGUACGCUUAUGUUUUAUUUCUUUUUGCAUUUAAUGCUGGCAGACUGCUUCACUGCUUUUUGUUUUUUUGUAAAAUACAGCAUUGCACUAAUUACAUUAAUUGUUCUGGUCAGGGGCUUUCGCACUGGAGGAACCUUAUCAUAGUUCCUAGAACUAUUGGCAGGAAAAUUAUUAGAUUUAGGCGUAUUACAACUCCAGAAACUAUGAACUUAUUGUUUUAGGAUCUCUGUUUUGGGUAGUUAAAUAAGGGUCUCACCGCUUCCGGUUCAAGCUUUUUUAAAUAUGAAGUUGUUUUACUCAAGUUUCCUUUAAAAGUAGAUAAAAAUAAAUGUCCACCAGGAUUUAUUUCUAAAAGUUGUUUAGUUUCAUUCUUUUGACUAACAAUUAAAUAUACAAAAGUAAUAAAAUGUUAACAAUAACUAUAUAAAACUGAUUACCUUAAAAAUCUAUAGAUUUAGCCAUUAUUUAAUACAGCUGUUAACACGUUUUCUGAGAGCUAUGGCUUGACCGCUGUGUAAGGAUGAAAGAACCUCGGAUAUACUUUGAUCUACAUUUAUUCAUUUAGCUGAUGCUUUUAUCCAAAGCGACAUACAGUUGCUAAAUAUAUAUGUCAGAGGUUGCACACCUCUAGAGCAACUAGGGGUUAAGUGUCUUGCUCAGGGACACAUUGGAUUCAAACCCAGGUCUCUCACACCAAAGGCAUGUGUCUUAUCCACUGCGCCAACACCACCCCAUUGGAUCUACAAAGAAACAGACAAUACAAACAUACACAGGCAUUUCCAAGACAUCCCACAGAGUGGAGGUGUAGGAGACCUCCUUCCCUUCUGUCCAUUUGUUUCAUUUUAAAUCAAUUCACCCAUGCUUCCUUCUACUCAAUCUGCUCAAAAUGAUUACAGGAAAAUAUUAAUGCAAGUGAACUAACACUCACGUCUGGUAUCAUUUGAAAUGUCUCAAUGCAACUGUUACAAUGUUCUCAAUCUUACAAAAGUAGACUAAAAGAUAAUACAGAUCCGAAGAGUUAAGAGAUAUUUUGAGAAUGAGCCCACAGCAUGAAGUACUUCUUACUCUUAAAUUCAUCUUUGAGAAUUUGAUGUCUUGUAUUGAUUUGAUAUCUCUGAAUUGGCUAUGUAAUUGGCAUAAUACCUGACUGUUAAUAAAUUGCUAUAUUUGAUUUAUU